GUGGGGAAUAUUGGACAAUGGGCGAAAGCCUGAUCCAGCCAUGCCGCGUGUGUGAAGAAGGCCUUUUGGUUGUAAAGCACUUUAAGCGAGGAGGAGGCUACCGAGAUUAAUACUCUUGGAUAGUGGACGUUACUCGCAGAAUAAGCACCGGCUAACUCUGUGCCAGCAGCCGCGGUAAUACAGAGGGUGCGAGCGUUAAUCGGAUUUACUGGGCGUAAAGCGUGCGUAGGUGGCCAAUUAAGUCAAAUGUGAAAUCCCCGAGCUUAACUUGGGAAUUGCAUUCGAUACUGGUUGGCUAGAGUAUGGGAGAGGAUGGUAGAAUUCCAGGUGUAGCGGUGAAAUGCAUAGAGAUCUGGAGGAAUACCGAUGGCGAAGGCAGCCAUCUGGCCUAAUACUGACACUGAGGUGCGAAAGCAUGGGGAGCAAACAGGAUUAGAUACCCGUGUAGUCC
rnacentral:rRNA from 1 species